AAUUGACUAGCCUACACAACCACUUAAAGUAAACCAAUUGGAUCAAAUAAACAAUCUUACCUUUUGUGUCUUGCCUGUUAUUCUGUAACACAGUGUUUCAGUGGUUUGUGGGGUGUUAUAACAACAGUUCUGCUGGACCGGCCAGUGGUCUGUCUAAAGCCCCGGAUUGUCGAGGACUCCACCCCAUCACCUGCUCACAGGGCUGUCUGGAUGGCGGGUACGAUGUGGCAGCGUUGUCGGGGGAGACGUGUUACUGUGGUCAUUAUGGGAUGGAAGGGCUUGUGGCCAGGGAGUGUCCAGACAUCUCUACUAAAGGGGAGUCAGACACAGUUCCACAAAACAACUCUACAGGGUGGUGUUGUGACUCUGUCUGUCUGCCGUGUGGAGAUGGGAAGGACAUGUUGGCUGUAUACAGAACACUGGGGCCUUACAUCCGGAAUGUCAGCCUGGAAGUACUGACUGACACAGUGCAUUCUGGGAAGCCUUUCCUCUUGGAGGUUUCUGGAUACCUGGCGGCUCCUCCCACUCAGCCUACAGGGAUAUAUGGCCUGGAAGGAGAGAACCUAUCAUCUGUGGAUGUUCAAUUCAGUGGGAAGGCCCACAAAGGUCAAAGUUCACACAGCGUCAUCGUCCAGGACGAUGGCUUCUUCACCUUCUCCUCUGAUUGGAUGCUGGAAAACCCUGGAACAUACCAAAUUAGUAUGUCAAAAACAAAUAGAUGUUUUAUUU
rnacentral:lncRNA from 13 species